rnacentral:snoRNA from 1 species
CCCCUUUUAAAAGCACUCAAUGGGCCUUUUGCUAGUGACCCAUUGAGCCGUCAAGAAGGGGCAGAGUAAAAACUCCGCUUUUGGGUGAAGUAGCAACUUGUGUUGUUUUACUUCAAUCGGUGUUGUGACAAGA